CAGGAUUAUAGCAUGUCUUUGGAUAAUGUUCUUAGGAAUAAGCACAAAAAAAUUGCCGGCUCAGUUCCCACAGAGAUAUGAGCCUAACUUGGAACAUAUCACUUGUUCUACCUGCUCCUGUAUUUUCCAAUAGACAUCUGAGGGAAGGAGGGAAGCAAACUAGUUCAGAAAAAGCAGGCAUAAGUAUAUGUUGGUGAUUUUGAUGCCAGGCUGGUGGAAAGAACCAAGACUUUUUUAACCCUCUAAAGUUCUUUCAGGUCAUGAACUCUGUCAGCAGCAGCUACC